UUAAUAUCAAUUAAAGGUUUUAUGACUGACCAAGAUAAUACGAUUGGAUCAAAUCAGCUAACAACAAAUAUUUAAAUUCUUCACAGUACCUUCCCGUGUAACACAAACAGCCAAAGAAGGAGCUAAAACAAUUCAACGCAGACCUGCUUUUCGGGUUUCUCAAAUGCUUUCUGUUUCUGUUAACUGCCCUUAAAUACGGUAGUACGGUGGUACAGUCAGCUUCAGAAUGCCGGAGGCUGACAUGCAAGGUUGUUAAAGACAAGCCAUCAGAGGAUCCCAAAACAUGGCUGCCGUGAGCACUGAAGGACAAAACCCAACAGGUACAUUCAUUUUUAAAAGUAUAUGUAGCCGGGUCUUUGGAAAGACUAGACUGAACCCAAAACAAUUUUUAAGUGAGCUUUAUUCCCGACUGAACAAUAAUUAUACGUACAGCAUGAAGAUGAAAGACUGAGAGGUUAAGUGAAUUUUAAGAGUUCAAAAAAAAAAGGGAUCAGAGAUCAAAUAAAAUUAUCUAACAGAUUAAAGAAAAUUACACAAUAAUAAACAACAGUAGUGGCUAGCUUGAUAGGAAAACAGAAAUAAAAAUACACUUUCCAAUUUCCAAGCCACAAUACUCCAUUAAACUCGAACAAUCAUUACAACCCAGUGUUUUGAGAGGUGUACACACUUACUCAAUACGUUCUGGUGUGUUGGGUGGACACGAAACAGUGGAAAAACAUAAAUGAUCUCCCCUCUCAAGACACAUAAAGCAGUUCAUAUAAUUUCACAGUUAAAAAAAAGAACAUAUUCACACCUUGUCACACUGCGAACACGUACACUGUACAGCCGUUUACAGGACCCACCAGAGGAAGCAUUCAAUUUCCCAAACCACGAUCUCUGACUUUACAAAUAUUCCAACAAUCAAUCACUCGUCCAAAUACAACCCCGAACAUGCGCUUCAUGGUAAAGUAGUUACCAAUACAAAUUACCUGAAUAUCGCCUGGGUCACAAUGACGAUUAUUGGUUUUUCAAGUUGGAACGAGGGGCAUACACAGUUCAGUGACUAUCUUCCUUCACAUGCAUGUCAUCUUCCCCCACUUCUUGGUCUGAUUCUCGCUGGCGCCAUAUGUUCCCGCGCGUUUUGAUCUAGCAUUAUUUUUAAAGAGACAGUGCUAUCAAGACAGCCCCCGCUACAAUAUUAAAGUAUGGUUCACCUGGUUACAUAUAGACAAGAAAAUAUUUUACAUGUCUUAAUUAUGAGAAGAGGGCAAUGGAGCUUUGGGUGAACUCAAUUUGGGUGCAACUGAAAAAAAAAUCAUGAGCAACAUGUCGAUGGAGGUUGGAAAGAGGGAUGGAACAAAGUCUCCUGACUCGAAAGCUAAACUCAACAAAGAAUGAGGUCUCAACAUUGAAGAACAUACCUGAACUUUUCUUUACAAAUAAUGCCUAAAUGCGGAACUCACACACAAAAAAGGUACCGUUCCCUGUCGAGUAAUGCUUGUUUUAAAAUGAAAUG